AACGAACGCUGGCGGCAUGCCUAACACAUGCAAGUCGAACGAAGGCUUCGGCCUUAGUGGCGCACGGGUGCGUAACGCGUGGGAAUCUGCCCUUUGGUUCGGAAUAACAGCUGGAAACGGCUGCUAAUACCGGAUGAUGACGAAAGUCCAAAGAUUUAUCGCCAGAGGAUGAGCCCGCGUUGGAUUAGGUAGUUGGUGGGGUAAAGGCUUACCAAGCCGACGAUCCAUAGCUGGUCUGAGAGGAUGAUCAGCCACACUGGGACUGAGACACGGCCCAGACUCCUACGGGAGGCAGCAGUGGGGAAUAUUGGACAAUGGGCGCAAGCCUGAUCCAGCAAUGCCGCGUGAGUGAUGAAGGCCCUAGGGUUGUAAAGCUCUUCUACCCGGGAAGAUAAUGACUGUACCGGGAGAAUAAGCCCCGGCUAACUCCGUG
rnacentral:rRNA from 1 species